AUGAACGCUGGCGGCGUGCCUAAUACAUGCAAGUCGAACGAGGUGCUUUUGUAGCAAUACGAGAGUAUCCUAGUGGCGAACGGGUGAGUAACGCGUUGGUGACCUGCCCCAAAGUGUGGGAUAACAGUCCGAAAGGACUGCUAAUACCGCAUGUGGUCAUUGGCUUUAGAAACUGAUGACUAAAGGAGUAAUUCGCUUUGGGAGGGACCUGCGUCCCAUCAGCUAGUUGGUGAGGGUAAUGGCUCACCAAGGCGACGACGGGUAGGGGGACCUGAGAGGGUGGCCCCCCACAAUGGAACUGAAACACGGUCCAUACACCUACGGGUGGCAGCAGUAGGGAAUAUUGCUCAAUGGGCGAAGCCUGAAGCAGCAACGCCGCGUGUGUGAUGAAGGCCUUCGGGUCGUAAAGCACUUUUCUGGGAGAUGAGAAAGGACAGUAUCCCAGGAAUAAGUCUCGGCUAACUACGUGCCAGCAGCCGCGGUAAAACGUAGGAGGCAAGCGUUAUCCGGAUUCACUGGGCGUAAAGCGCGUGCAGGCGGUGUGGUAAGUUGGGCGUGAAAUCUCCCGGCUCAACUGGGAGAGGUCAUUCAAUACUACCGCACUCGAGAGCAGAAGAGGAAGAUGGAAUUCCCGGUGUAGUGGUGAAAUGCGUAGAUAUCGGGAGGAACACCAGUGGCGAAGGCGAUCUUCUGGUCUGUUUCUGACGCUCAGACGCGACAGCUAGGGUAGUAAACGGGAUUAGAGACCCCGGUAAUCCUAGCCGUAAACGAUGUGAACUUGGCGUUGGUGGGUUAAACUCCAUCAGUGCCGCAGCAAACGCGAUAAGUUCACCGCCUGGGGACUACGGCCGCAAGGUUAAAACUCAAAGGAAUUGACGGGGGCCCGCACAAGCAGCGGAGCGUGUGGUUUAAUUCGAUGCUACACGAAGAACCUUACCCAGGCUUGACAUACAGGUGGUAGGGAUCCGAAAGGUGACCGACCCGCAAGGGAGCCUGAACAGGUGUUGCAUGGCUGUCGUCAGCUCGUGUCGUGAGAUGUUCGGUUAAGUCCGCUAACGAGCGCAACCCUCGCUGCGUGUUACAAGUGUCACGCAGGACCGCCGGUAUUAAGCCGGAGGAAGGUGGGGAUGACGUCAAGUCAGCAUGGCCUUUAUGCCUGGGGCUACACACAACGCUACAAUGGGCAGUACAAUGGGUUGCUAAGCCGCGAGGUGGAGCCAAUCCCCCAAAACUGUCCUCAGUUCAGAUUGCAGGCUGCAACUCGCCUGCAUGAAGCCGGAGUUGCUAGUAAACGCGCGUCAGCUAUAGUGCGUUGAAUACGUUCUCGGGCCUUGUACACACCGCCCGUCACGUCAUGGGAGCUGGUAACACCUGAAGCCGGUAGCCUAACCGCAAGGAGGGCGCCGUCGAAGGUGGGGCUGGUGACUGGGACG
rnacentral:rRNA from 1 species